GUCAAACAGUUCACGUCACGGUGUUUGGUCAAAGAGCCAGGCGAGACAGCUCUGAUGCUUUUGAUGGCUUUUAGUAGACCACAGCUACUGAAAGAGCUUACAAACUGCAGAGACAAGAAACUCUAGAUGCCAUCCUGGCAGGAUGUAAACAUGCCGACACUUCGCAGCAGCCACUGAAGGAGUUUCUCAGCGUGGAUUUCAUUUGAAGACUCCUUGUGGGGAAAAUCGAUGUGAUUCUCACCUUCUCCACACGGAGGCGCCGUUCCCUCUCCUCCAGCCUCUGCACCUCCACCAGCUCAGCGUCACGGAUCUCCUUGAAUGCCUGCUGCUGAGCCCUCAGGUUGGCCAGCUCCUCCUCUUCCAGCACUUCCAGCAACGCCUGCUCGAUUGUCUUGCCCACCAACACCUGCAGCACGGGCUGGACCUCCACAUCAAAGUCAAACAGCUGCAGAAAAGACAAAUGCAAGUCUUUCCACUGGGCAGAUUUCGAGGCCAACCUGGAAGUUAGCAUCACCCUGGUUCACUUGACAAAAACCCGUUAGGAUUUUUAUGUUGGCAUUUGGAUAACUGAAGAAAGUAAGCUUUGUGACCAAUAAAAGUAUAUGAUUCUUACAUAUUUUGUUCAUCAUAAUCUUCUGAUUUUUAAAGCCUAAAUACAAUUUCCAGAAUUUGAAAGCUAAAUGGAAGCUAUAAACAAACUACAUCAUAAUCAUAUGACUUAAACAUCACCACAAUUAAAACAACCAAACAUUUUCCCUGAAGCGGACUACUAAGCAGAUGAUUCUUCCUGUUCUGUGUGAUGACUUUUAACGACCCAGAAAACCUAUUUGUAAUCCUAUUUAGCCACUUGUUAGCAAUUGCCUAGUUAAAAACAAGUAGAAGCUUUUUUAAAAAUCACAAGAGGGGUAUUACUGAUGUAGUUUAUGUUGAAUAAAACGUGGAAAAAUCUUGAAUUUGUGUUAACCACAGACGUAUUUUAGGCAUUUAACCAAAAACCCAUUCAAAAAUGCCUAUUUCCAAGUUUUGGCCUUCAAAAAUAUGUCAUUCCUGCAGCACUCUAUUUUAUUGUGCAAAAUCAUUUACUACCUGUCUGCACAUCUAUGUUUUUUCUGCCAUC